rnacentral:lncRNA from 1 species
GGUUGCCAGAAAUGACGAUCGACGUAAAGCAUUUUUUUUGUUACUAAAAUUCAUCCUAAACCCAAUAAUCUUCCUAAAUUAUGAAGAAUAAAUAUCAUAAAUAACAAUUUAAUACAAAAAUUCACACAAAAUAGAAAAUGAAAAAUCAAUCUCUUAAUUCGAGAAAAACUAAUAUUGUUGAAGAUAAUGAUCAAGUUUUAUGAUGGUCGACGUUGGGUAGACUGUGAGGAUGACAACUUUUGAACGGAUACCAACUGCAAAGACUGUGUGAAUUUUUUCUUUCUUUUCUUUUUUUCAUCUCCUCUCCUAUCUUUGUUGAAGAUGAGUGCAAUAUUCGCAACUGGUAUAAAAAAUUUCUGUUAUAUUUUUAAACUUUUUUUUUAAAAAAAAAUGGUCAAAUGCCACAAAUAUGACGGGGUCAAAUGAUCAUUUCCAUGUAUUUUCUCAUAGAUAAUCUAUGUUAUACAAGAUAUCACCUUUAAAACAUAUAUCAUAUUUUAAAAAAUAAUUGCCUUGUUAUUUUUCCUUUUGGAACAAGUUUAUGUAACCUUCUCUUCAAACAUUUCCCAACUUCAAUGGGUUCUCGUUUGAGAUUCAAUUUAUCAUUUAUUCUUUAUUAUUUUGACCAUGUGAAUAUACUAGUUCAAUGCUCUCACAGAGGAACAUGGAUCUACUUUAAUCUUUCAAUGCUACGAAAUCGAUCCCACUGAAAUUUAUGCCAAAAAAUAAUCAUUUUCCAACAAAUAGCUGUAGCAUGACCAAUUUGAUAGAUCAAUAAAAUGGUAACGGUCGCAACUGAAUUAUACAAUUUUGGGUGUUCGUAUUUAUAGACAUUAAUUUGCAUGCACAUUUACGCCUAUACACAUAUAAAUAUGUACAACAUACUUAUACAUAUUUAUACACCUACCAGGGAUGGAUCCACGAUUUUUUUAUUUUUUUUUUUAUAAAGGGGACUGAAAGCACUUAAUAAAGUCAAUGUAAUAGAGUUUACAUGUACUAAAAAAAUUCAUUAAAGGACAUCAUUUAUUUAAGUCAUUCAUGAUGAAGAUUUGAAACAUAUAUUGAUCUAUAAUAGAAUCUAAAUUUAUUUUCUCAUCAAGUUCUCUUUUUAUAAAAAGUAUCAUACAAUGAGCAAGAAAGUCAUUCUCAUUUAUUUCGAAAUGUCGCCUUCACAUGUUUCAUUGUUGAAAAAUGCUCUCUCGGUACUUGUGGAAAUAUGUAGUGUCAAAACAAGACGAAUUAAUAUAGUCAAAUGGAAUAUUACUACGAAAAAAAAAGGCAAAUCAAUAUAGUGACCCAAAUGUAGUAGAAUUACCAAGCCAAAAAGCCACCUACAUUAGUAAAAACCAAGCCAGAAUUAUUCCAUUUCCAUUGUUUCAAAUCAAAGAACACCAAAUAGAAUAUUUUCGUACCACAAAAUAAUGUUUAUAUUAGGGUAAUUAGCACAAAACGUCCCU